AACGCGAAGAACCUUACCUACUCUUGACAUCCACAGAACUUAGCAGAGAUGCUUUGGUGCCUUCGGGAACUGUGAGACAGGUGCUGCAUGGCUGUCGUCAGCUCGUGUUGUGAAAUGUUGGGUUAAGUCCCGCAACGAGCGCAACCCUUAUCCUUUGUUGCCAGCGGUCCGGCCGGGAACUCAAAGGAGACUGCCAGUGAUAAACUGGAGGAAGGUGGGGAUGACGUCAAGUCAUCAUGGCCCUUACGAGUAGGGCUACACACGUGCUACAAUGGCAUAUACAAAGAGAAGCGACCUCGCGAGAGCAAGCGGACCUCAUAAAGUAUGUCGUAGUCCGGAUUGGAGUCUGCAACU
rnacentral:rRNA from 1 species